GAUGAAAAUGAUUGAGAGCAACUUCCGGAUUAAUUUUGGGUUUACUUGAUUGGAGGCGCAGCUGAACCAGGCGUCCCAAGCUGAGCCACCGUGCCAGAGGAAGUUUUUAACGCUGAACAAUGCUUGUUGGUCUUCAUCUU